UACAGAGGGUGCAAGCGUUAUCCGGAAUUACUGGGUUUAAAGGGUGCGUAGGCGGUUUGUUAAGUCAGUGGUGAAAUUUCAGCGCUUAACGCUGGCAUUGCCAUUGAUACUGGCGAACUUGAGACACAGUGAGGUUGGCGGAAUGGGACAUGUAGCGGUGAAAUGCAUAGAUAUGUUUCAGAACACCGAUUGCGAAGGCAGCUGACUGGCUGUUGUUUGACGCUGAGGCACGAAAGCGUGGGGAUCAAACAGG
rnacentral:rRNA from 2 species